GACGAACGCUGGCGGCGUGCUUAACACAUGCAAGUCGAACGAUGAAGCCGGAGCUUGCUCUGGUGAAUUAGUGGCGAACGGGUGAGUAACACGUGAGUAACCUGCCCUUGACUCUGGGAUAACUGCUAGAAAUGGUAGCUAAUACCGGAUACGACCCUCGGAGGCAUCUCCAGGGGGUGGAAAGAAUUUCGGUCAAGGAUGGACUCGCGGCCUAUCAGCUAGUUGGUGAGGUAAUGGCUCACCAAGGCGACGACGGGUAGCCGGCCUGAGAGGGUGACGUGCCACACUGGGACGGAGACACGGCCCAGACUCCUACGGGAGGAAGCAGUGGGGAAUAGGGCACAAUGGGCGCAAGCCUGAUGCAGCAACGCCGCGUGAGGGAUGACGGCCUUCGGGUUGUAAACCUCUUUUAGUAGGGAAGAAGCGAAAGUGACGGUACCUGCAGAAAAAGCACCGGCUAACUACGUGCCAGCCGCCGCCGUAA
rnacentral:rRNA from 1 species